GUUAGUGGCAAAAGGGUGAGGAAGUGAUAGGAACGUACCCUGUGCUCUGCCAUAGCGUCUGAGACUUGCGCUUCCCCCCAAAGGGGCGGUCAUACCAGAUAAUGGCCUUCUAGACCUAAGAUUUAUCGGCAUUGGAGCGGCCUAUCUCCUAUCCGCUUGUUGGUGACGUAACGGCUCACCAAGGCAACGACGGGUAGCGGGACUGACAGGUUGGCCCGCCUCAUCUGGACUGAUACCCUGCUUGGACCUCCACGGAGGGCUGCAGUAACGGAUAUUGGGCAAUGGGCGAAAGCCUGACCCACCCAUGCCGCGAGCAAGAUGAACCCCCUAGGGGUGUAAACUGCUGUCAGGGGUCAGAAAGCUGGUUUCAGCCAGUUGAUCAACCCCAGAGGAAGUCACGGCUAACUUCAUGCCAGCAGCCGCGGUAAUACUAAGGUGGCAAGCGUUAUUCAGAAUCAUUGGGCUUAAAGGGCACGCAGGCGGAACAGUGUGUGUUGUGUGAAAUCCCCCGGCUUAACCGGGGAAUUGCACAACACACUGCUGUUCUUGAGGCAGGUAGAGGUGCAUGGAACUCUUGGUGGAGCGGUGGAAUGCGUAGAUAUCAAGAUGAACACCAUAUGUGAACACGGUGCACUGGACCUGUCCUGACGCUGAGGUGCGAAAGCGUGGGGAGCGAACGCGUAUUAGAUAUCCCGGUAGUGCACGCCCUCAACGAUGUCUAUUAGGUCGUGGGUGUUCUGACACAUUCACGGCCGGAGCAAAAGUGUUUAGUAGACCGCCUGGGGAGUACGGCCGCAAGGUUAAAACUCAAAUGAAUUGACGGGGGCUCACACAAGCGGUGGAGCAUGUGGAUUAAUUGGAAGCAACGCGCAGAACCUUACCUGGGUUUGACAUGGUUGUAUGCCUUCUCUGAAAGGAGUUAGGGUGCCUUCGGGUGAAACUUGCACAGGUGUUGCAUGGCGGUCGUCACCUUGUGUCGUGAGAUGUCGGGGUAAGUCCUUUAACGAGCGAAACCCUUGCCGUUAGUUGCCAGCGAGUAAUGUCGGGGACUCUAACGGGACUUCCGGUGUUAAACCGGAGGAAGGUGGGGAUGACGUCAAGUCCUCAUGGCCUUUAUGCCCAGGGUUUCACACGUGCUACAAUUGCAAUUACAGAGCGACGCGAUCCCGCGAGGUGGAGCAAAUCGCAAAAAAAUUGCCUCAGUUCGGAUUGCAGGCUGGCAAUUAGCCUGCAUGAAGUCGGAAUCGCUAGUAAUCGUGUAUCAGCAAUGACGCGUUGAAUUUGUUCAUGAGCCUUGUACACACCGCCCGUCAAGUGAUGGAAGCCGGGAGUACCCGAAGUCGGGUUGCUAACC
rnacentral:rRNA from 1 species